ensembl:lncRNA
ACUAAAGCACGGUUUCAGGGGUGAGCGACGCCGUUUGUCAGCAGCUGUGAGUUGGGGUGGAUCCCACCGCCUGCGGGUCCUGCAGCCACAGCAGUGCAGAAGGAGGAGGAAGAGGAGGGUGCCCUCAGCUCCAUCACCUGUCAGCAUCCUCCUCCGUGCCCCUGGCUUGCCACCCAUCCUCUCCCCAGCGCUUGCAGGAUGAUCACAUUAUACACAAUUACACACUCGAGGAAUUUCUCCUGAGAUCCAGAUGGGUACAGUCUGGAGUGGCUGAGGAGCCAGCGCGUGUGUGGAAUAAUGAAUCAUUCAUUCAAGCUGACACGUCACCAUCAAGCUCUUGGGUUGCACAAGCAUGUGUUGCGCUGCACUCACUGCUUGUUACCCUAAAAAAGCCUUAACCAUCUCAAUCAUUCCAAAUUUGGGUUGCACUCUGUCUGUGCACUCCCUGUGUCUUGUCGUUUCAUUAUUAUUCUUUUUGCCAUAUCAGAAAGAUUUAUGCAGAAAUCACUCAAAAUGCAUCAGCGGCACAGGUCUCCCCAAGCUGAGAGAUGCCGUU